CAAAGAAAUCUUUCAUGGAAGAGUCGAUCAAUGUGUGAAACUUCAUUUUUGUCUUAUUUUAAGAAAUUGGCCACAGCAAUUUCUUAAAUGCCCCAACCUUCAGCAACCAGCGUUCUGAUCAGUCAGCAGCCAUCCAUAUCAAGGCAAGACCCUUUACCAGCAAAAAGAUUCUCACUGAAGGCUCAGAUGUUCAUUAGCAUUUUUUAGCAAUAAAGUAUUUUUCAGUUAAUAUAUGUACAUUGCUUUUUCAGACAUAAUGCUACUGCACACUUACUAGACUCAGUGUAGUGCAAACAUAACUCUUAUAUGCACUGGGAAACCAAAACAUUCGUGUGACUCAUUUUAUUGUGACAUUUGUUUUAUUGUGGUCUUCGGGAGCUAAACCUGCAAUAUCUCUGAGGUCUGCCUGUGUUCUACUGGGGAAGACUCAUAUUUCGCCAACCAAAACAAUGGGUGAUAGGAUCUAUUACUUGCUGUUUUCAAGGGGCACAAAAGAGGGAAUGAUUAGCCUUGCCUGUGUGAGGUUGACAUUCAAAAUGAAUCCUUAGCAUUUUUAUGCUAUCAUCGAGUAGAGAAGUGGGGUGGGUGAAGGCAUCUCAAGGAGCUUAUGUAUGGGUAAAUGCAAUGGUAUGCACAAUUUCCAGGCAGCAUUCCCUGAAAGGCUGUUGUGUUCAGGGAACAGUACAUUAUCCAGAGUGGCCAGAAGACCACGUACAAUGGGGUUGGUAGAAGAUGGGCAUGGAAUGAAUGGACAAUUGGGAAGGACACUGAACGUCAGACUGAGAAAUCUGGACUUAAUCUACAGGUAAUUAAAAUGAUUUGCAAAUGUUUUGCAAAGACAAGAAAUCUGUUCACAGCCUGUCAUUGAAAUGAUCACACAUUUUCAUAUUCAGAACUUCACAGUGUGUUGCCAGCAAAGUAGUGAAGGGCAUCUUUAUAGAAAUACAUUAUAAUUACAGUUUUUUUUUUCCAAAGGACUAAAAGUAUUUUAUGGGCAGGAUGCAGGGGGAAGGGAGAGAGAGACAAAAACAGAAAGAAACAGAGACAGAAGGACAGAGAGACAGAGAGAAUGUGUGUGCAUCUUUAAUAGAAGUUCCAGAUGGCAGAUAAGGGAGAGAAGAAAGCCUGAAGACUAAUAUCAGAUAAGAUUUCAAAGGAAUAGAAGGGAAAAUCAAAACAAAUUUUGAAAAGUUUAAUUAAGGCUGUGGAACAUUUUUGCCUUAGGGAAGGAGAAAACUGUCUCUAAAUUUAUUUGUAAUGAGACCUUCACACUUUCUCCCUUGGUCUGUACAUGGCUUCUCUGUG
rnacentral:lncRNA from 1 species